rnacentral:rRNA from 1 species
AGAGAGACGCUGGCGGCGUGCCUCAUACAUGCAAGUCGAGCGGAUGCAGGAAUGCAUUAGCGGCGGACGGGUGAGUAACACGUGGGCAACCUGGCCUUAAGAGGGGGAUAACGUUCCGAAAGGGACGCUAAUACCGCGUAAAUCAGCGAAAUCGCAUGAUUUUGUUGGAAAAGGAGAAAUCCGCUUAAGGAUGGGCCCGCGGCCUAUUAGCUAGUUGGUAGGGUAACGGCCUACCAAGGCGACGAUAGGUAGCCGACCUGAGAGGGUGAACGGCCACACUGGAACUGAGAAACGGUCCAGACUCCUACGGGAGGCAGCAGUAGGGAAUAUUCCGCAAUGGGCGAAAGCCUGACGGAGCAACGCCGCGUGAGUGAAGAAGGUCUUCGGAUCGUAAAGCUCUGUCAACAGGGACGAAACAAGACGGUACCUGAGAAGGAAGCCACGGCAAACUACGUG